rnacentral:lncRNA from 1 species
AGACAACCAAACUCCAUCAAUCAAGAGGAACUUAAUCCAGGGAGGCAUGUAGAAGAGCCUAUUUACAUCAUUAACUUGCCAACUUUGUGUAUAUACAUGUGCAGACACGCAUGCAUAAUAUACCAUAAGGCAGCAUAACUGAUAGUGGACCUUAAGGGUUCUUCUGCUCACUGGGUCAGAAGCAUCCGAUUUCCUGUCAUCGGUUGCGGUUCAGCCAUGUUAAUACUGAAAGUAUAAGAAUAUCAUAAUCCCAGAGUGAUAUAAAGACCUUUCCAAGGAAGAUGAGAUACCCGGAGGCUGUGAAGGAGAAGUCUGAAGGAUUUGAACGCGUUCAAAUGAAAACCUUUGGUUCAGCAAAACACCAGAAACAAAUUCAAAAGAUAAAAUACACUCCGGAGAAGCCCAUUCUCUCAACGCAUCUGACAGUUCACAAAGAGCAACUGCAGUCCAACUUAAAAAAUAAAGAAAAUGGUAGGAAAAUGGGCAACAUGCACUGAGGCAAUAUAUAAGAAGAAGGAAUGCGCAAUUAAUCAACAAAAGCCUGCUCUUUCCUAACGAGUGAAGAUACAAGCUUAGUAAAUAUUAAAAUUUAUUGAAGAUAAAAAUGGACACUUCCGGCCAUAUAUAAAAGCAUUGUUGGUAAGAGAGUGGGGUAAUUGACAUGCUCCUGGGAAAUAAUACGCAUUCAGACAACCUCUAAUGAGUGAAUCCACUGGGGGUAUCCACUAGGAAUAGAAAACGACCACCAAUGCCCAAGUUUGUGGUCCAGAAUUUGAGCAGCGAUCUAACAAAGUAGAGUCUCCCCCUGUGUCAUGGGCCCCACUUCUUAAGCAAAGAAGAAUGCCUCAUUUUGGUAACUCACCCAAAUAAACAGAAAUUUUUUUUGAUAAUCUUAUCGCAUUUAUUUGGUUAAGUCUGAGGCAGAAUAUUUUUCUCCUUUGUAUCUUUGUUUUGUUUUGUUUUAAUCCUUGAAGUUUAUUACCAAACUACAUCUUGGUGUUUCUUCAGGAUGUGAACAGGCCUUUCUAUUCUCAAUUAAGUGUUUCUUUCCUUUAAUUCAGGAAUCUUCUAAUCAUGUAUUUUAAUUUCUUUUUCUGUCAUCCCUCCCCACGCCAUAAGCUACCAGUCACUAUACAUGUUGGAGCUCUCUUUAUUGUGCCAUAGAUCUCUGAUGUCAUGUCUUUAGUCAUUAUUUUGUGUCAGAAAUUUUUGUUCUUCCGGGGACAUCUGGCAAUAUCUAGAGACAUGCUACUGGCACCUAUAGAAAUGCUAGUGACUUAUUAUGGGUAGAGGCUAAAGAUGCUGCUAAAUAUCCUACAAUGCCCAGGACAGCCACUGCCACAACAAAGAAUUAUGCAGUCCACAAUGUCCAUAGUGCUAAGGAGAAGAAACCCUGUCCUAGGGUCAAGGUUGGAUGCUGACAAGACUAAUUUCAAGUGAUUUCAAACGAUUGUGGGGAAAAUACCCAGAAGUUGACAGGAGCAAUAUGUAGAUAUUUCCUUCUGUAAAUUAUAUUUCCCUAAUGCUAAUGCUGGAGCAUUUGGAAACACGUGUAUAAAUAUUUGAAGCACAAAACCAGAGAGAUGCUCUUAUGUAUUUAGCUUCUAGUUUUAAAUAAUAGAUACUACAAUAAACCUUGAUUAAACCUUGAUUAUCUG